GUCGGCGACCAUACCACGUUGAAAACACCGGUUCUCGUACGAUCACCGAAGUUAAGCAACGUUGGGCCCGGUUAGUACUUGCAUGGGUGACCGGCUGGGAAUACCGGGUGUUGCCGGCUUUU
rnacentral:rRNA from 1 species